GAAUGGGUAACAACUCUAUCUAAUGUUCCAUGUGUAUUGAAUUCGGGUUCAAGUGUUUUAAUUUGUAUUAGGAUUUGAAUGUAGUUAAGGUGAAAUUGGCAGCGGAUUUCUUGGUCCGGCUGCCCUCGACGGAACUGGCUUACCUGGCUACACAGUCUAGUUAUUGGAAAAACAUGUGUGUGCCAAGUAUGUAUCAACCUUUUAUCUCCAUGUGCAGAUGAUGUAUCUUCUUCCACUUGUACACUUUUAUGAACACGGACUUUCAUCAACUUU
rnacentral:misc_RNA from 1 species